rnacentral:rRNA from 1 species
UCGACGGCAGCACAGAGGAGCUUGCUCCUUGGGUGGCGAGUGGCGGACGGGUGAGUAAUGCAUCGGGAUCUACCCUGACGUGGGGGAUAACCUCGGGAAACCGGGACUAAUACCGCAUACGUCCUACGGGAGAAAGCGGGGGACCUUCGGGCCUCGCGCGGCAGGACGAACCGAUGUGCGAUUAGCUAGUUGGCGGGGUAAUGGCCCACCAAGGCGACGAUCGCUAGCUGGUCUGAGAGGAUGAUCAGCCACACUGGGACUGAGACACGGCCCAGACUCCUACGGGAGGCAGCAGUGGGGAAUAUUGGACAAUGGGCGCAAGCCUGAUCCAGCAAUGCCGCGUGUGUGAAGAAGGCCUUCGGGUUGUAAAGCACUUUUAUCAGGAGCGAAAUACCACGGGUUAAUACCCUAUGGGGCUGACGGUACCUGAGGAAUAAGCACCGGCUAACUUCGUGCCAGCAGCCGCGGUAAUACGAAGGGUGCAAGCGUUAAUCGGAAUUACUGGGCGUAAAGGGUGCGUAGGCGGUUACUUAAGUCUGUCGUGAAAUCCCCGGGCUCAACCUGGGAAUGGCGAUGGAUACUGGGUGGCUAGAGUGUGUCAGAGGAUGGUGGAAUUCCCGGUGUAGCGGUGAAAUGCGUAGAGAUCGGGAGGAACAUCAGUGGCGAAGGCGGCCAUCUGGGACAACACUGACGCUGAAGCACGAAAGCGUGGGGAGCAAACAGGAUUAGAUACCCUGGUAGUCCACGCCCUAAACGAUGCGAACUGGAUGUUGGUCUCAACUCGGAGAUCAGUGUCGAAGCUAACGCGUUAAGU